AGGGGUACAGCUCAGCAGUAGAGCACAUGCUUAGCAAGCAUGAGGUCCCGGUUCAAUCCUUAGUACCUCCA
rnacentral:tRNA from 1 species